rnacentral:miRNA from 1 species
UAGACGGAGAACUGAUAAG